CCUACGGGAGGCAGCAGUGGGGAAUAUUGGGCAAUGGGCGCAAGCCUGACCCAGCAACGCCGCGUGAAGGAAGAAGGCUUUCGGGUUGUAAACUCCCUUUCUCAGGGACGAAGCAAGUGACGGUACCUGAGGAACAAGCCUCGGCUAACUACGUGCCAGCAGGCGCGGUAAUACGUAGGUGGCAAGCGUUAUCCGGAUUUACUGGGUGUAAAGGGCGUGUAGGCGGGAAAGCAAGUCAGAUGUUAAAACCAUGGGGUCAACCUGUGGCCUGCAGUUGAAACUGGUUUUCUUGAGUACUGGAGAGGCAGACGGAAUGCCUAGUGUAGCGGUGAAAUGCGUAGAUAUUAGGAGGAACACCAGUGGCGAAGGCGGUAUGCUGGACAGCAACUGACGCUGAGGCGCGAAAGCGUGGGGAGCAAACAGGAUUAGAUACCCCAGUAGUC
rnacentral:rRNA from 1 species